rnacentral:rRNA from 1 species
UACGAAGGGAGCUAGCGUUGUUCGGAAUCACUGGGCGUAAAGCGCACGUAGGCGGCUGUGUCAGUCAGGGGUGAAAUCCCGGAGCUCAACUUCGGAACUGCCUUUGAUACAGCACGUCUUGAGUCCGAUAGAGGUGGGUGGAAUUCCUAGUGUAGAGGUGAAAUUCGUAGAUAUCAGGAGGAACACCAGUGGCGAAGGCGGCUUCCUGGACACCAACUGACGCUGAGACGCGAAAGCGUGGGGAGCAAACAGG